rnacentral:rRNA from 1 species
UAGGGAAUCUUCGGCAACGGGGGCAACCCUGACCGAGCAACGCCGCGUGAGUGAAGAAGGUUUUCGGAUCGUAAAGCUCUGUUGUAAGUCAAGAACGAGUGUGAGAGUGGAAAGUUCACACUGUGACGGUAGCUUACCAGAAAGGGACGGCUAACUACGUGCCAGCAGCCGCGGUAAUACGUAGGUCCCGAGCGUUGUCCGGAUUUAUUGGGCGUAAAGCGAGCGCAGGCGGUUUGAUAAGUCUGAAGUUAAAGGCUGUGGCUCAACCAUAGUUCGCUUUGGAAACUGUCAAACUUGAGUGCAGAAGGGGAGAGUGGAAUUCCAUGUGUAGCGGUGAAAUGCGUAGAUAUAUGGAGGAACACCGGUGGCGAAAGCGGCUCUCUGGUCUGUAACUGACGCUGAGGCUCGAAAGCGUGGGGAGCGAACAGGAUUAGAUACCCUGGUAGUCCACGCCGUAAACGAUGAGUGCUAGGUGUUGGAUCCUUUCCGGGAUUCAGUGCCGCAGCUAACGCAUUAAGCACUCCGCCUGGGGAGUACGACCGCAAGGUUG